rfam:Ciona savignyi cont_19181, whole genome shotgun sequence.
GGUCCUGUGGUCCAAUGGAUAAGGCGCCUGACUACGAAUCAGGAGAUUCCAGGUUCGAGUCCUGGCAGGAUCG